rnacentral:rRNA from 1 species
CAGCAGCCGCGGUAAUACGGGGGGAGCAAGCGUUGUUCGGAAUCACUGGGCGUAAAGGGCGUGUAGGUGGUCAGGUAAGUGGGAUGUGAAAUCCCUCGGCUCACCCGAGGACCUGCAUCCCAAACUGCUUGGCUUGAGUAUGGGAGAGGAUGAGGGAAUUCCUGGUGUAGCGGUGAAAUGCGUAGAUAUCAGGAGGAACACCGGUGGCGAAAGCGCUCAUCUGGCCCAAUACUGACGCUGAGGCGCGAAAGCUAGGGGAGCAAACGGGAUUAGAUACCCCGGUAGUCCUAGCCGUAAACGGUGAUCACUAGGUGUUGGAGGCAUCGACCCCUCCAGUGCCGCAGCUAACGCAUUAAGUGAUCCGCCUGGGGAGUACGGCCGCAAGGUUGAAACUCAAAGGAAUUGACGG